rnacentral:lncRNA from 1 species
UGAAGAAAAGGUGACUAGAACCGUUCUUGUCUCAUUUUCACUGGCUUUCCACGCUGAUAUCGCAACGAGUGAGUAUACAUCAUUUGGAAGAUUGGGUGCAACGUAUUGCCAACGAUGAAGAAGCUGUGUUGCAUUUUGUUCCAAGGUCCUGCCUACUGAGAAAACAGUCACAAUUGACGGAACAUGAACCAGCUUUAUUUUCCAUGAAAGAACGAUCCCGAAGCUUCCCCCUCCGCCUCCUCGAAUGGCCCAAAACAGAUCUUUCCCCAUCGAUCUUCUAUCAAGAACUCUCCCACUAGCAUCGACAAACUGCGCAUCGAUUACAUUAUCAGCCGCGAGACCGUAUUUUCGGGACAAUAAACCAUCGCCUCCACCACUAAUGAACCCACCCAUUCCUACAGUGUAGCCAAAAGCCCCUGGGAAGGUAAGUUUCGUGCUUCUCUCAUUGAUUCUGUAGUAUACUUGUUGAAGUAAUGGUCAGCAUGCAGCAACCAAGACUGUCAAAGGCACUACAUGCAGAAGCUGCUGGUUCACCUAGUCAGCAAGCUGUUUAUGUUUCAUUUUGUAAUUUUAAGUUAGAGUAAUGUAACUUAGUUGCUUUAUAACUAUGUUAGGUUUAUGUUUGAUGUAAUUUUGAUGUUGACUGAGCUGAUAAAUCAGCUUUGUUUGUUUACUCAAGCUAAUUAGCACAAGUUACUAUGUGUAUUAGUGGUAGUAGGUGAAGUUUAGGUCAACCUACUGUUUUGUCAAGAUUGUAAACUUGUUUUAUGUAUUGGCUUUGUGCCAUAUUUAGUUUGAUGAAUGAAUUCAAGAAGUUAUCAUCCAUAUGCUCUCCAUUUUUUAGUUUUACUUAAAAAUUCAUUUGAGUUUUCUGCUUUGUUUCUCCUACAAGUCACGAGACUUGCCAUACAAGCAUUCUGCUGAAGCUUGCUACUGCUGCCUCUUGCUCCAACAAUUGGUAUCUAGAGCCACAUUCUUAGAGGACCUGUUGUAGUUCAGUAUCAAAACAAUGGCAUCAUCAGGUUUUUCACCAGCUUCACCACCUGUCUUCAAUGGAGAGGGCUUCAACAUUUGGGCAGUUAAGAUGAGGACUUACCUGCAGGCAUUCGACCUAUGGGAAGUUGUUAACACAGAUGCUGAGCCAGCACCUCUUCGAGCUAAUCCAACAGUUGCUCAAAUAAGGCAACACACUGAUGAAAGGACAAAAAGGCACAAGGCCAUGUCAUGCAUACAGAAUUGUGUGACAGAUGUGAUCUUUAUGAGGAUCAUGGCCUGUGAGACACCAAAUGAGGCUUGGGACAAGCUGAAAGAAGAAUUUCAGGGGACUGAGAAAACAAGGCAACAACAGCUGCUCAAUUUGAGAAGAGAUUUCGAAAAUCUCAAAAUGAAAGAGGAAGAAAUAGUUAAGCAGUACUCAGACCGGAUUAUGGCUGUUGUAAACAGCAUAAGGCUCCUAGGAGAGCAAUUCAGUGAAGCUAGAAUGGUUGAGAAAGUCAUGUCCACUUUACCAGAGAGGUAUGAAGCUAAAAUUUCAUCCCUCGAAGACUCAAGGGACUUGACAACUAUCUCCUUAACUGAGCUAAUCAAUGCCUUGUAUGCACAAGAGCAAAGAAGAGCAAGCAGACAAGAGGAGCACCAGGAAGGGGCUUUUCAAGCCAAAGAAGCCUCGAGCAUCAAAACUCAUAAAGGCAAAAAGUUCUGGAAAAACAGGCCUAAGCCUGAUGCUGCUAGGAGCAGUGACCAACUCUGCAGACAUUGUAAAAGAGCUGGUCAUCCAGAAGAUAGAUGCUGGUUUAGACCAGAUGCAGUAUGCCAACACUGCAAGAAAAAAGGCCAUGUUGAAAAAGUUUGCAAGAAUAGAAGCAAACCAAGACAGAAUCAAUUUCAGCAACAAAAGGUGGAAGCUCGAGUAGCUGAAGAAAGCAGUGAUCAAGAAGAACAUGUUUUUGCUGUGUCAUGUGCAGCAAAUCAGAAGAAGGGUUCAAAGGGCUGGCUUCUAGACAGUGGGUGCACAAACCACAUGUCACCAGAUGCAACUAUCUUCAAAACCCUGGACAGAACCUGCAAAACCAAAGUAAAAAUUGGAAAUGGUCAGUUAAUCAAUGCUGAAGGAAGAGGAGAUGUGCUGAUUCAUACUCCUACAGGUGGCAAAAUCAUUUCAAAUGUACUUUUGGUACCUGAAAUCGAUAGGAACCUUCUCAGUAUAACUCAACUACUUGAGAAAGGUUACUCAGUUGUUUUCAAGGAGAAAGAAUGUCAAAUUUUUGAUCCAAGUGGAUCAAAUCCUAUAACAGUCACCAUGACUGAUAAAUGUUUUGAAGUAGACUGGCCAAAUGACUCACAUUCAGCCUGCAUAGCCUCCACUGAUGACUCGAGACUCUGGCAUCAGAGGCUUGGACAUGCAAACUACAAAUCCAUAGCCCGCAUGGUCAAUGAAGGUCUGGCAGAAAAUUUCAUUGAUUCAGUGAAGAAUGAUGAGCUUUGUGAGAUAUGUCAGCAAGGAAAAUUGGCAAGAUUGCCAUUUCCAACAAGCACAACAUGGAGAGCAUCAGAGAAGCUCCAGCUUGUGCAUACAGAUGUGUGUGGACCAAUGAAGACUGAGUCUCUCAAAGGAAGCAGGUACUUUAUUUUAUUUAUUGAUGACUUAACAAGAUACUGCUGGAUUUAUUUUCUAAAACAGAAAUCAGAAGUACCAUCUAUGUUCCUGAAGUAUAAGGCUGCUGUUGAAACUGAGUCUGGUUGCAAACUUAGAGCAAUGAGGUCAGAUAAUGGAACUGAGUACACCUCAGCUCAGUUCCAAGUCUACUGUGAAGAAGCAGGUAUCAAACACCAGUUGACUAAUGUGUAUACACCCCAACAGAAUGGGGUCAGUGAAAGGAAAAACAGAAGCUUGAUGAACAUGGCAAGAUGUCUUCUGUUUGAGAAGAAUUUGCCCAAAAGUCUGUGGGCUGAAGCUGUUAACACAGCAGUUUAUUUCCAAAACAGACUCCCAACCAAGGCUCUGGCUGAGAAGACUCCAUUUGAAGCCUGGUUUGGGUUUAAGCCAUCACUGGCUCAUCUCAGAACCUUUGGUUGUCUGUGCUAUACUCAAGUUCCAGCUGAGAAGAGAAGCAAGCUAGAUAAAAGAGCUCAAGCAGGGAUCCUGAUCGGCUACAGCUUGGUUAAGAAGGGCUACAGAAUUCUAGAACCUGCUACAAACAAGAUAUUGGUCAGCAGGGAUGUUGUUUUCAAUGAAAAAGGAUACUGGAAUUGGGAGAAGGCUAAACCAGAGGCAGUGGCUGAAGAUCUGGCAGUGGACCAAGUUGAAAAUGAUGAAAACACACCUGAAAUGGAUGUAGAUGAUGUUCCAAUCAGAGGCACUCGAUCACUGGCUGAUGUUUAUGAAAGAGCACAAGUGGCUACUGUUGAACCAAGUUGCUUUGAAGAAGCAGAAAACCAGGAGGACUGGAAGCAAGCAAUGAUUGAAGAAAUCAGAAUGAUUGAAAAGAAUCAGACCUGGAGUCUGGUUGAUAAACCAACAAACAGGAAGAUUAUUGGUGUCAAAUGGGUUUAUCGAGUAAAGAACAAUGCUGAUGGUAGCCUAAACAAGUUAAAGACUAGAUUGGUUGUGAAAGGCUUCAGUCAAAGGUAUGGAUCAGACUACCUGGAAACCUUUGCACCAGUGGCCAGGCUAGACACUAUUAGACUGCUAGUUGCUUUAGCAGCACAAAAACAGUGGCUGAUACACCAACUUGAUGUAAAAUCAGCAUUUCUGAAUGGAUUUCUUGAAGAGGAGAUUUAUGUGGAGCAACCUCAAGGUUUCAAGGUGUCUGGCAAAGAAGAUAUGGUGUACAAGCUCAACAAAGCCUUGUAUGGCUUGAAACAGGCUCCAAGGGCCUGGUAUAGCAGAAUAGAUGGCUAUCUGACCAGUCAAGGAUUUGAAAGAAGUCUUAGCGAGCCAACUCUGUAUGUUAAAUCAACUAGUGCUGAAACUCAGCUCAUUGUCUCAAUAUAUGUCGAUGACCUACUGGUGACAGGAGGAGAUCAUGAGAUGCUAAGCAGUUUUAAAGUUAAAAUGCAACAGCACUUUGAAAUGUCAGACUUGGGAUUGAUGUCUUACUUCUUAGGCAUGGAAGUAACUCAAGCUAAGAAUGGGAUUUGGCUAAGUCAAAAGACCUUUGCUAUGAAGGUUCUCAACAAAUUCUCAAUGGAGAAUUGCAAAGCAACCAGCACACCAGUUGCUGUUGGAGAAAAACUCUCGAGCCAAGACAAGCAUGAAAAGGUUUGUGAAACAACCUAUCGAAGUCUAGUUGGAUGUUUGUUGUAUUUGACUGCUACUAGACCUGACAUAAUGUAUGCUGCGAGUCUACUCUCGAGGUUUAUGCAUUCUUCAAAUGAAAGCCAUUUUAGAGCUGCAAAAAGGGUUCUAAGAUACAUCAAAGGAACUUUGUCCUAUGGAAUGCAGUUUACCAAGGCAGAGAACUUGAGGCUAGUUGGAUAUUGUGACAGUGAUUGGGCUGGUUCUUUGGAUGACAUGAAGAGCACUACAGGUUAUGCAUUCAACAUAGGCUCUGCUAUGAUAUGCUGGAGCUCAAAGAAGCAAGGAGUAGUGGCUCAGUCGACUGCAGAAGCAGAAUAUGUGGCUGCUGCUGCAGCAGUCAAUCAAGCCAUAUGGCUUAGAAAAAUUUUGAAAGAUAUCAAUCAUGAGCAAAAGGAAGCAACUGAGAUAAUGUGUGACAACCAAUCAGCAGUUGCUAUUGCAAAAAAUCCUGUUUUUCAUGGAAGGACCAAGCACUUCAACAUCAAACUUCAUGCAGUUCGGGAAAUGGAACAAGCUCAUGUUGUUAAGCUGAUACAUUGCAGUUCUGAAGAGCAAAUUGCUGAUAUUUUAACAAAAGCACUAAGUGUUUCCAAGUUUCAACACCUGAGAGCUAAUAUGGGAGUUUGCAACAUGCUAACCAAGGAGGAGUGUUGAAGUAAUGGUCAGCAUGCAGCAACCAAGACUGUCAAAGGCACUACAUGCAGAAGCUGCUGGUUCACCUAGUCAGCAAGCUGUUUAUGUUUCAUUUUGUAAUUUUAAGUUAGAGUAAUGUAACUUAGUUGCUUUAUAACUAUGUUAGGUUUAUGUUUGAUGUAAUUUUGAUGUUGACUGAGCUGAUAAAUCAGCUUUGUUUGUUUACUCAAGCUAAUUAGCACAAGUUACUAUGUGUAUUAGUGGUAGUAGGUGAAGUUUAGGUCAACCUACUGUUUUGUCAAGAUUGUAAACUUGUUUUAUGUAUUGGCUUUGUGCCAUAUUUAGUUUGAUGAAUGAAUUCAAGAAGUUAUCAUCCAUAUGCUCUCCAUUUUUUAGUUUUGCUUAAAAAUUCAUUUGAGUUUUCUGCUUUGUUUCUCCUACAAGUCACGAGACUUGCCAUACAAGCAUUCUGCUGAAGCUUGCUGCUGCUGCCUCUUGCUCCAACAAUACUUCACCCACGAUUGCACCUGAUUGAACCCACACCUCUUCGUUUUCGACAUCGACCUCGACCGAUUUAAAAUGAACCAAAUCGAUAACAACAAAUGGGACAUGGGAGACAUAGGAAAGACCUUCGUAGUCAUGACCACCACUUCGAGUUCUGAUUUGGAGGCCAUGCUUUUUGGAGCAACGAAUCGUUGCUUGAACAUGGGAAAUGUUCAAUGGUGUUACAAUAACCAAUGGUUUCGGGGUAUUUGGCGUUGAGAACCUGUGAUUCCUAAUGGAAGAUUCCAAAACUGGCGAAUAUGAUGAGUUUGUUUCAGUGUAGGUAACUUUAGAAAUGGAAGAGGAUUCAUCGGGAUGAUAUGAAGAAAGGCAAUCAAGAAAAUUAUCAUGGCUUUUAGCUGAAACAUUCACCCAUGACAAUGAGCAAACAACAACGAAAAGCAAUGGCAAAGAACGGUAAAGGGACUUCAUGUUUUAUGAAACUGAUGACUUUGCGAAGAUUUCAAUUAGAUAUUUCCUUAUUUAUAGAGACAAUGCUUUGAGCCGCCAUGUGAAGAAAACUGAAGUUUCUUAGCUGGCGUGAGCGGUAUAAGUUUGACACGGAAAACGCAUGUAUUUGAAGUCAACUGAAGUCAACUGUCGACUGUUAUAUUCGGAAAAGCUAUACAUAUAGAUGGAAAAUUAAAUCUUUGACUAAUUAUAGCAUACGUGCUCUGAAUGUUCACGCAUCGUAGUACUAUUGGGUUUCGUGUAAUGAUAAUAUGGGAAGAAACUUGGGACAAGGUGGAUUUAAAUGAGUUGAAAGUUCCUUUUUUGUUAUGUUAUGGAUGAACUUUGGUCGAAAUUUUAAACGAAAAAAGAAAAUUCGUGAUGAGAUUGAAGGGUAAGAAAAUAAGAAAGAUAUUUUGCUUUUUCAUGGUCUCAAGAACUAGUUCUUCAAAUUUAAAAAUAAUAGAAUCUAAAAAUGAAAUAUAAAAAAGUGGAUUAAUUCUUUUUAAUGUGGUUUUUUUAUAAUUUAAAUUAUAGUAGAAAUGAAACAAUUUUAUAAAACAUAAAUAUGGUAUAAUCGAAAUCAAACAAUUUUUUGAAACAUACAUAUGGCUUCGUCUGCACUUCAUGGUGCCUGUUUCCCUGGCCCUUAUAAAAUUUUAAGGUAAAUUACCCCAUAGUAAUAAAAAAUAUAGGUUAUUUUUAUUUGUAUUAGUCAAAUUUUCUUUAUUAAUUUAAUCACUAUGGUUAAUUAAAUUGACCAAAUUGAUCACUCCACCAUUAAAUUCACUAUUUCAUCAAUUAAAUUGAUCAAAUCGAUCCCUCCUCCAUUAAAUUCACUAUUUCAUUGUUAAAUUCAUUUAUUUUUAUUUCAUAAUUUUUUAUUAUUUUUCCCUCUCCUUAGAAUGAUGUUAUGUUUAUAUGUAUUUGAAUUAUAACCUAUGAUACUAUGAUGAAUACAAUAUUGAUCUGUACUUUAAUAAUGAUUAAUAACAAGAAAGCAGUGUCGAAUAGGGUUACAAGUAUAAUUAACAUGUUAUAAGGUUAGAUAUAUUUGAGUUUAUUAGCACUAGGCACACUUUGAUUUACUCUCGUACUCUCAGACAGUGAGAGAGUUUUCUAAUUCCCAGAGGGUCGAGUACAAAAUAUCUGCUCCAAUUCCUAUAGGGCUGUGAGCAUAUAUUGGUAUAUUAAUCCAUGUACUUGUCCUUGAAUCCAAAAUCGGUUAAUAGAAGCAAAAGAAUGAAAAUGAUAUGUGAUUAUAAUGUAAAGUGUUACGUGAUUGUAUAUGAAAUUGAUAUAUGGCCAAACUAUGAUAACUAAACUUGGUUAUUGAUACAUGGAAAUCAAAUGCAAAUUUCUUGAGGGUACAUCAGUACUUUGUGAUUCUAAUAAUGAAAUGAUAUGAUGAAAAUGAGAUACUAUGUACACGAUGUGUAAACUUUGAGAAAGUUGUAAGCCAGAAUACCCUGAGGGAGGCAUGAUACAAUGAUCCAUUUACAUUGGGUUAUUGUUGAGUGUGGUACUUAAUUGAUGAUAUGUUCUAAUGUUUAAGUUAUGUUUUCAUUACUUAAAAUUAUUAUGCUUUGAAAAAAUCAUAUUAGUAUCACUAAGCUUGCAAUGCUCAACAUGCGGAUGCGUUUGUUUUCAUGCAUCGAUGAUCAACAGAUACUUUGAUACAUUGUGGGACUUUGGACACAUCCUAAGCCUUGCAAUCCUCUUUAUCGAUAUGGCGCCCUCCUUCGCAAGGCUGCAUGAAGUCCAAUGUAUGCGGGAUAGCAAAUGAGGAAGUUGCAGGUUGUAGUGGAGUACUAAGAGAUAAUGAGGGUGCUGCAAGAGCUUUAUUUUAGGGUCCUAUUGCAGCUAAUGAUACAGUUUCAACAGGGGCAGGGGUGGUGUUUAUAGCAUUGGAUUGUUCUUAUCCAUGGGAUGGAAGAUUAAUGGUUAUCUUAUUGUAGAAAUUGGUUCAAAAAUGGUGUACAAUUGCUGUCUAAACAAAGAUAUGAGACCGUGGUCGUUACAAACUGUUAAAAAUACAAUAUCAGUAAUGACAAUAUAUAGCAAAGAAAAUAGAAAUAGAAAAAUAAAGAACACACAGAUUUUACGUGGAAACCCUUUCGGGAAAAAAAACCACGGGCAGAGGAGGAGAAAAUUCACUAUGUCAAAUUUAAAUCAAUUACAAGAGGAGUAGGCUAUGCCUAUUUAUAGGCUUGUAAACCUUAUUCUAAUAGGAGUGAAACUCCUUAUUCUAAUAAUAUCAAAUAGAUGGAGUUUAAUAAGGUUUAAAAAACCUUAUUCUAAAUAAAAUAAAAGAAGUACAAUUCUAUAGGGAUUUUACUUUUAUUUUAUUUUACCAUAGUAUUUAAUUUAAAUAAGGAUUUGUGUCACUUAAUUCUAACAAUAUCCACCUUGACAUGAAUUCUUAAUGAACAAGUUCUUCAUCGCGAACUCUCAACUAACAAGUUUCUCCACCUCUUCCAUAAACACCCCUUAAGGGUUUAUUUUCAACAAUGAACACCAACCAAGUCUAAGCAGUGCUCAAACUUGGUUAUAGGAAGUGACUUAGUCAUCAUAUCUGUAGGAUUUUCAUGAGUACUAAUUUUGCUCACAACAAUAUCACCACGAGCAAUAAUAUCACGAACAAAAUGAUACCGAACAUCAAUGUGUUUUGUUCUCUCAUGAAACAUUUGAUCUUUUGUAAGGAAGAUGGCACUCUUACUAUCACAAAAUACUGUUUUGAUUUGAAGGUCUUCAUUGAGUUCACUAAAGAGCCCCUUCAACCAAAUAGCUUCUUUACAAGCCUCAGUAAUCGCCAUGUACUCAGCUUCAGUGGUAGACAAAGCGACUGUAAUUUGCAAAGUGGCUUUCCAACUGAUUGCACAACCUCUGAUUGUAAAGACAUAACCUGUGAGAGAUCUUCUUCUAUCGAGGUCUCCAGCAAACUGAGCAUCAACAUACCCAAUGACUCCAUCUCUAGUUCUUCCAAACUGUAAGCAAACAUUGAUAGUACCUCGUAAGUAUCUUAAAACCCACUGAACUGCUUUCCAAUGUUCUUUACUGGGAUUCGCCAUGUAUCUGCUAACUGCACUAAUUGCAUAUGAUAAAUCUGGACGUGAACAAACCAUGGCAUACAUGAGAGAUCCUACUGCACUAGAGUAUGGAACAUGUGACAUGUACUCAAUCUCAUCAUCUGAUUGUGGAGACAAAGCCGAUGAAAGUCUGAAAUGGGCUGCUAAAAGAGUACUAACAGGCUUAGCAUUCUGCAUAUUGAAUCUGGAAAGAACUUUCUCAAUGUACCCUUUCUGACUUAGGUACAAUUUACUUGCUUUUCUAUCCCUGAGAAUCUCCAUACCAAGUAUCUUCUUUGCUGGUCCCAAGUCUUUCAUCUCAAAUUCUUCACUUAGUUGAGCUUUGACCUUUCUUAUCUCUCAUUUAUCUUUCGCUGCUAUCAACAUGUCAUUAACAUAAAGGAGUAGAUACACAAAAGAACCAUCACUGUUUUUCUUAAAGUAAAAACAACUGUCAAAGCUACUUUUUUUAAAAUCAUGAGAAGUCAUAAAUGAAUCAAACCUCUUAUACCACUGUCUUGGUGACUGUUUCAAACAGUAAAGGGACUUUUUCAGCAAGCAAACAUAGUCCUCUUUUUCUGAGACUGUAAAACCUUCUGGUUGUUGCAUGUAAAUAUCCUCUUCAAGUUCUCUAUGCAAAAAUGCAGUUUUUAUAUCUAACUGUUCAAGCUCUAAAUCAUGCAUGGCCACAAUACCAAGCAAAGCUCGAAUCGAACUAUGCUUCACAACUGGAGAGAACACAUCUAUGAAAUCCACUCCUGGAAUUUGACUGUAACCCUUUGCAACAAGCCUUGCUCUAUAUCUGGGUUCUUCAACUCUUGGAGUCCCCUCUUUCUUUUUAAACACCCAUUUACAACGAACAACCUUUUUACCUUUGGGAAGUUUCACAAGAUCCCAUGUUUUGUUUUUGUGGAGUGAUUUCAUCUCCUCUUGCAUAGCAAACAUCCACUUUUCUGAAUCUUCACAACUAACCGCCUCAGAAUAAUUAGAUGGCUCUUGGUUUGCAUCUAUAUCUUCAGCCACAUUUAAACCAUAAGCAACUAGAUCAGCCUCGGCAUACUUCUUUGGAGGUUUAAUUUCUCUUCUAGUUCUGUUUUUGGCGAUAGAGUAUUGUGGUGAAAAAGUAACUCUAUUUUGAAUUUUCGUACUGGCUUUAGUAGUUGACUCUGGUGUAGAUUCUAGAUUAACCUAAUGUUCCACCUGCUUUUGAUUUUGUUUAUUGGAAGAGUCUUUAAGAGAUAAGUUAGGUAGCAUAGCAGUUUCAUCAAAAACAACAUCUCUGCUAAUCACAACUUUUCUAUUUUCAGGACACCAUAACUUAUACCCUUUUACACCAGCUUUAUAACCAAGAAACAUACAUUUAAUAGAUCUCGGUUCCAAUUUUCCAUUAUCAACAUGAGCAUACGCAGGACAACUAAAGAUCUUUAAAUCAGAAUAGUCAGCAAGAUUACCAGACCAUACCUCUUGUGGAGUCUUUUUCUCAAUGGCAACGGAUGGAGAUCGGUUGAUCAAAAAACAUGCUGUAGAGGCUACUUCUGCCCAAAAUUACUUUGAUAAGUUGGCAUUAGAUAACAUACAUUGAACUUUCUCCAUGAUCGUUCUGUUCAUUCAUUCUGCAAUGCCGUUUUGCUGUGGAGUAUGACGAACUGUCAAGUGUCUCACAAUCCCUUCUGACUUGCACAGUUUAUUAAAUUCAUCAAAACAGAACUCUAAGCCAUUGUCUGUGCGGAGGUAUUUUAUUUGCUUUCUCGUCUAUUUUUCAAUUAUGGUUUUCCAAGACUUAAAUGAGGAAAACACAUCACUUUUCUGGAAAAUCAUCAAUAAAAGUUAGCAUAUAAUUAGCUCCACCUCUCGGAGGCACUCUGGAUGGCCCCUACAGAUCAGAAUGAAUAUACUCUAAUUUUCCCUUCGUGUUAUGGAUUCCUCUAGUGAAUCGAACUCUCUUUUGCUUCCCAAAAAUGCAGUGCUCACAGAAUUUCAGUUUGCAAAUUCCUUGCCCAUUAAGAAGUCCUCUUUUGCUCAAUUCUGCCAUGCCAUUCUCACUCAUAUGCCCUAGGCGCAUAUGCCAAAGUUUAGUAAUAUCAUCAUCUGACAAGGAAGAGGAUGAGACAGCUGCAUCACUAGUAACAGUAGAACCCUACAAAACAUAUAACUUAGCAGUCUUUCUCUGCCCUUUCAUCACAAUAAGGGAACCUUUGGAAAUCUUCAAAACCUCACUUUCAGCUGUGUAUUUUUACCCUUUUGAAUCAAGAUUACUCAACAAAAUUAAAUUUCUUUUUAAUUCUGGAACAUGUCGUAUAUCACUGAGUGUUCUGAGAACUCCAUCAAACAUCUUAACUCUGAUUGUUCCAACACCUGCAAUUCUACAUGAAGCAUUAUUUCCCAUCAACACAAUACCUUCAGACACUAUUUCGUAAGUUGUAAACCAAUCCCGAUUGGGACUCAUGUGGAAGGUGCAACCUGAAUCAAGGAUCCACUCCUUGCUCACUUUGGAAUUAUCGACAGAAGCGACUAGAAGUUCACCAUCGCUGUAAUCUUCUACAACAUCAGCUUUACCAGAAUUUUCUAGUUGUUUUCCAUUUUGAUUCACAGCCUCCCUUUUGAUCUUAUUCUGUAGCUUAUAGCACUUAGUUUUAAUGUGCCCUUUCUUCUUGCAAAAGUUACAAGUUUUACCUCUAUUUGAAGACUUUGAUCUACUCUUAGAUUUACUGCGAGGAUUUCAUUCCUGUGUCCUCCCACGAUCAUCAUCAGCAUUCUGAUCUUGUCUCCCACGAACAAUAAGACCCUCUCUUUGAGAGUCGAUUUUAACCACAAGAUGCUUCAUCUUAUCAUACGAGGUUAAAGAAUCAUAAACCUCAUCAACUGUGAAAGACUCGCGGCUAUAUAAAAUCGUAUCUCUAAAGGAUGAAUAAGACGGGGGCAACGAACAAAGUAGAAUCAACCUUAAAUCUUCCUUAUCAUACUGAACCUCCAUGGCCUCCAAGUUUGAGAGAAUUUGUUUGAACACUGUUAAGUGUUCGUGCACAGAUGCACCUUCCUCCAAACGAUGAGCAUAAAGACGCUGCUUCAUAUGUAGCUUGCUAGUUAGAGUUUUCGACAUAUAUAUCUGUUCCAACCUCUUCCAUAAUCCAGCGGCAGUCUUUUCCUUCAUCACAUUCUAUAAAAUUUCGUUAGACAAAUGCAGAUGUAACUGUGUUAAUGCCUUUCGAUCCUUGCGCUUCUUCUCUUUUUCCGUCAAUGUUGAAGGCAUCUUAUCUACCCCUAGUAGGGCUUCCUCUAAGUCCAUCUUUGCAAGAAUUGCUUGCAUCUUUAUUUGCCACAACGCAAAUCUGGUGUUGCGAUCCAACAGCGAAAUUUCGUACUUCAAAGACGCCAUUACCGUGAUUGAGAUGAACAAGCCGGAAGCUCUGAUACCAAUUUGUUAAAAAUAUAAUAUCGGUAAUGACAAUAUAUAGCAAAGAAAAUAGAAAUAGAAAAAUAAAGAACACACAAAUUUUACGUGGAAACCCUUUUGGGAAAAAAAACCACGGGCAGAGGAGGAGAAAAUUCACUAUGUCAAAUUCAAAUCAAUUACAAGAGGAGUAGACUAUGCCUAUUUAUAGGCUUGUAAACCUUAUUCUAAUAGGAGUGAAACUCCUUAUUCUAAUAAUAUCAAAUAGAUGGAGUUUAAUAAGGUUUAAAAAACCUUAUUCUAAAAUAAAAUAAAAGAAGUAUAAUUCUAUAGGGAUUUUACUUUUAUUUUAUUUUACCACAGUAUUUAAUUUAAAUAAGGAUUUGUGUCACUUAAUUCUAACACAAACAAUAUUUUCAGAUAUUGAGAGGAAAAUUGAGCAGGUGAGUAGUGUAGUAUUCUUGAUGGCAUAUCAGAAGGUAAUGAAAUGGCUUCAACUUUGGCAAUAGCAAGUAUUAAUCAUGGUGACAUGUUUAGACCUUGGUGGUGAGUGUUAGCUUUGAUGUCGAGUAUUUGUUUUUCAAUUAUAGGAAAUGUUUCAUUGUGGUAUUUAUAAGUAGUUCCUUUGAAUGAUGUUCUUGUUGUAUUUACAACAGAUCAAUCUGAAUGAAGCAAAAAAAAAAAAUCUCACCAGUCUUUAGAAUUUCUUCAAAUGAAGAAAUUCAUGAGAAAUGAGUUACAGUUUAAAGUUAUUUAUAUAAUAAUAAUAUAUUAUAUGAAUGAGAAAAAUAAUAAUAUUUAAAACAAUGAGGUAGUCAUUCAAAGAUCAUUCAAAACUUUACUCCCCUUUGCAAAUGAACGAUGUUGAUUCUAAUACAGUACUAAGACGUUGGCUGACAUUCAUACUAAUACGUCGGCAUCCAAUCACCAUAACUAAAAUUUUGUUUAAAAUGCAAGUUUAUUACAAUUCAUUCUAAUACAGUAAUAAGAUGUUGGAAUUUGUACCAAGACAUUGACAUCCAAUGGCAAUAACUGCUUCAAAACGCAAGUUUAUUUUUCGAAUACAAUUUUGGCAGCAGUACUAAGAGGUGUGCUUUGUUGAUGCUUUUGGCAAGACUAAUUUUUAUUAGAUGCUUUGGCAAAGGUUGGAGUAGAUACAGUAUUUAUUAUUCAUCAUAAUAUGAAGAACAAGUUUAUUCUAAACAAAAACUUUAAGGUAAAAUGUAUUACUAAGUAUACAUCAUAAUAAUGAACGAGAUUAAAAUUUCUUCUUUUAUCAAUGAAAAUGAGGAGGAAUACUUUGUUCAUGCUUGAAGAAAUUUUCUGGAUCAAUCUUUGUCUUGACAGAAACUAAUCUAUCAAAAUUAUUCUUAAAAUAUUUACGGCCCCACACGCUUGCUUGCUUAUAACUUGCCUUGCCAUCAUCAUUAUUUCUUCCAAUAUCGAGAUCUCUGUAAUUAACAUACGCUGCUCGUGGAGAUUUUGAAACAAAAGGACCCAUGUAGCUAUAAAGUUUCCUCAUCCAGCUUAUAUACCUUUGAGAUCUAAUGUUUUCCUCUUCUUGCCAACCGAUGUUGUAGUGUAUCUUGUAUAAGGUGCCUUUUCGAUGGGGGAAUGGAGUUUCUGUCUCUGAGAUCUCGUCCAUCAUUCCACCGUAAGCUAUAAAAGUUUGAACUGCUGAGAUUGCUUCGUCGACCUCGAGAAGUUGGGGCCAUAGCCCUUGUAAUGCUAUUUCAGGCACCGGUUCAUUCACGUAAUCAGAUUUUGAUUUGAAUGAAGGAGGAAGAAGGGACCUAUUCCUUUCGAGCAAAGCCUCCGAUGUUUCAUUUGAAAGUCCGUUUAUGAACAAUACAGAUUCAAUCCAAGUCAUCUCAAUGAAAUCUUCCUUAACAAGCCCAAGCUCAGGGAAUCGUUCUUGCAUCAAUGGAAUCAGCUCAUUGGCACCACCUUGGAAUACUGAAGUAAAGGUGACUAGAACCGUCCUUGUUUCAUUUUCACUGGCUUUCCACGCUGAUAUCGCAACUAGUGAGUAUACAUCAUUUGGAAGAUUGGGUGCAACGUAUUGCCAACGAUGAAGAAGCUGUGUUGCAUUUUGUUCCAAGGUCCUGCCUACUGAGAAAACAGUCACAAUUGACGGAACAUGAACCAGCUUUAUUUUCCAUGAAAGAACGAUCCCGAAGCUUCCCCCUCCGCCUCCUCGAACGGCCCAAAACAGAUCUUCCCCCAUCGAUCUUCUAUCAAGAACUCUCCCACUAGCAUCGACAAACUGCGCAUCGAUUACAUUAUCCGCCGCGAGACCGUAUUUUCGGGACAAUAAACCAUCGCCUCCACCGCUAAUGAACCCACCAAUUCCUACAGUGUAGCCAUGAGCCCCUGGGAAGGUAAGGUUCGUGCUUCUUUCAUUGAUUCUGUAGUAUACUUCACCCACGAUUGCACCUGAUUGAACCCACACCUCUUCGUUUUCGACAUCGACCUCGACCGAUUUAAAAUGAACCAAAUCGAUAACAACAAAUGGGACAUGGGAGACAUAGGAAAGACCUUCGUAGUCAUGACCACCACUUCGAGUUCUGAUUUGGAGGCCAUGCUUUUUGGAGCAACGAAUCGUUGCUUGAACAUGGGUAAUGUUCAAUGGUGUUACAAUAACCAAUGGUUUCGGGGUAUUUGGCGUUGAGAACCUGUGAUUCCUAAUGGAAGAUUCCAAAACUGCCGAAUAUGAUGAGUUUGUUUCAGUGUAAGUAACUUUAGAAAUGGAAGAGGAUUGAUCGGGAUGAUAUGAAGAAAGGCAAUCAAGAAAAUCAUCAUGGCUGUUAGCUGAAACAUUAACCCAUGACAAUGAGCAAACAACAACGAAAAGCAAUGGCAAAGAACGGUAAAGGGACUUCAUGUUUUAUGAAACUGAUGACUUUGCGAAGAUUUCAAUUAGAUAUUUCCUUAUUUAUAGAGACAAUGCUUUGAGCCGUCAUGUGAAGAAAACUGAAGUUUCUUAGCUGGCGUGAGCGGUAUAAGUUUGACACGGAAAAAGCGUGUAUUUGAAGUCAACUGUCGACUGUUGUAUUCGGAAAAGCUAUACAUAUAGAUGGAAAAUUAAAUCUUUGACUAAUUAUAGCAUACGUGCUCUGAAUGUUCACGCAUCGUAGUACUAUUGGGUUUCGUGUAAUGAUAAUAUGGGAAGAAACUUGGGACAAGGUGGAUUUAAAUGAGUUGAAAGUUCCUUUUUUGUUAUGUUAUGGAUGAACUUUGGUCGAAAUUUUAAACGAAAAAAGAAAAUUCGUGAUGAGAUUGAAGGGUAAGAAAAUAAGAAAGAUAUUUUGCUUUUUCAUGGUCUCAAGAACUAGUUCUUCAAAUUUGAAAAUAAUAGAAUCUAAAAAUGAAAUAUAAAAAAGUGGAUUAAUUCUUUUUAAUGUGAUUUUUUUUAUAAUUUAAAUUAUAGUAGAAAUGAAACAAUUUUAGAAAACAUAAAUAUGGUAUAAUCGAAAUCAAACAAUUUUAUGAAACAUACAUAUAUGGCUUCGCCUGCCCUUAAUGGUGCCUCUCUCCCUGGCCCUUAUAAAAUUUUAAGGUAAAUUACCCCUUAGUAAUUAAAAAUUUAGGUUAUUUUUAUUUGUAUUAGUCAAAUUUUCUGUAUUAAAUUUAUCACUAUGGUUAAUUAAAUUGAUCAAAUUGAUCAUUCCACCAUUACAUUCACUAUUUCAUCAAUUAAAUUGAUCAAAUCGAUCUCUCCACCAUUAAAUUCACUAUUUCAUCGUUAAAUCCAUUUAUUUUUAUUUCAGAAUUUGUUUUUGUUUUUCCCUUUCCUUAGAAUGAUGUUAUGUUUAUAUGUAUUUGAAUUAUAACCUAUGAUACUAUGAUGAAUACAAUAUUGAUUUGUACUUUAAUAAUGAUUAAUAACAAGAAAGCAGUGUCGAAUAGGGUUACAAGUAUAAUUAACAUGUUAUAAGGUUAGAUAUAUUUGAGUUUAUUAGCACUAGGCGCACUUUGAUUUACUCUUGUACUCUCAGAGAGUGAGAGAGUUUUCUAAUUCCUAAAGGGUCGAGUACAAAAUAUCUCCUCCAAUUCCUAUAGGGUCGUGAGCAUAUAUUGGUAUAUUGAUCCAUGUACUUGUCCUUGAAUCCAAAAUCGGUUAAUAGGAGCAAAAGAAUGAAAAUGAUAUGAGAUUAUAAUGUAAAGUGUUAUGUGAUUGUAUAUGAAAUUGAUAUAUGGCCAAACUAUGAUAACUAAACUUGGUUAUUGAUACAUGAAAAGCAGAUGCAAAUUUCUUGAGGAUACAUCAGUACUUUGGGAUUCGAAUAAUGAAAUGGUAUGAUGAAAAUGAGAUACUAUGUACACGAUGUGUAAACUUUGAGAAAGUUGUAAGCCAGAAUACCCUAAGGGAGGCAUGAUACAAUGAUCCAUUUAUAUUGGGUUAUUGUUGAGUGUGGUACUUAAUUGUUGAUAUGUUCUAAUGUUUAAGUUAUGUUUUCAUUACUUAAAAUUAUUAUGCUUUGAACAAAUCAUAUUAGUAUCACUAAGCUUGCAAUGCUCAACAUGCGGAUGCGUUUGUUUUCAUGCAUCGAUGAUCAACAGAUACUUUGAUACAUUGUGGGACUUUGGACACAUCCUAAGCCUUGCAACCCAACUCAGACAAUGUUUGUACUCUUUUGUCUAUAGGUUGUUAAUGUCAUUAUGGGUCUUAUAUGCUAUUUUGUCUACUUUGGUAGACUUGGAUAUAUUUUGGACCUAGAAGGGUCCUAAAGUUGAGUUUUGAAUCUUGAUCAUGAUGAAUUUAUAUAUGUUAAUAUGUGUAUAACUUUUUAUAUGUUCAUGUGUUGGUAUGAUGCAUUAGAAGCUAUAUAUGGAUUUGCAUGUUUUAAAUGUGUUUAUGAUGGUUUAAUUUAUGUAUAUUGAUUGAUAUUAUGUUUUUAACAGCCUAAUUUUGACUCUAAUCGGACAAAGUGGUUUUAGGACCACAAAUUCGAGUCAGAAAAAUAUUUUAAUGUUAUUUUUAGUAUUUGCAGUAUGUGAAUUAAUAUGUGUGAAAAUUUCGUAUGAAAAUUUGAUCGUUUGAGAGCUCAAUUUGAUAAAAUGACUUAAUUGCGUAAAAUAAAAAUUUAGGGGUCAAAUCUAAAAGUACUCAAUUGUUGUUGUCUUUUAAAAAUAGGGGUCUUAAAUGGCAAUUAGGCCAUUUAAAUGAUAGUAGGUGACUAUGGACAACUUUAUCCUUAUGUUAUAUGAAAUAUAAAUUAUUUAAUAAAGGUUAAUAAGGUAAAUAAAUAAAAUACUAAUAUAUGUUAAUUAAAAAAGUAAAAACUCAAUUGUUAUCAUCUAUGUUUAGCUCGAUUUUUGAUAAUUUUUACGUUUUUGAGAUCAUUGCUAUGAAUACUUCAAAACACAAGUCUUAUUUUUGUGAAUUGUUGAUGAUUUUGAAAUGUGCCAUUGAUGAAUGCUUAAGCUUUGUGAUAGUUGAUGGUGAAAAAUGAAAGAUAUGUGAAAGAUUAACAUGCUUUGUCUUUGAAUUUUUGGUGAAAUUGAGUAAUUAGGGCUAAAUUGUGAAAUUAAAUUUUUGAGGGACUAAAAAGUGAAAUAAAUAAUAUGUGUGGACUUUUAUAAGCACUAGGUACAUUCAGCCCUUGUAUAGUGUGGAAAAAUUUUGUGUAUUUUGUGUUUUAUGUAAUAGGGACUAAAUUGCAAAAAGUGUAAAUGUUAGGGGCAAAAUAGUAAUUUUCCCAUUUAUGUGUUUUUGGACUAAAUUGAAUGUGAUAAUAUUUAAACUAGCUCAUUUUGAAUAUAUUUAGAUCAAGAACCAAAGAAAUCAGAGUUGGAUCAGGGAAAAGCUAAAGCCGUCGACUAAUCAUCCGGUUUCGAUUUUACAUUAUCCGAGGUAAGUCUAUUAGCAAUUUAAAGUUAUUAAGUUAAUAUUUAUACAUGUAUACUAAUUGUAUUUUGUGUUGAGCUAUAAUUGAAAGUAUAUUGAUUGAAUAAAUUUUGAAGUAUGGAUGAUAUUUAUAUAUAUAGCAUGUUCAAAUAUACAAGUAUAAUCUUGUAUAAAUUUAUGGGUUGAAAUAAAGGUAAGAAAUGUAUAUAAGUAUUUUUGAUAUUCGAAUAAGCAUGUAUAUAUAUAUAUAUGUAAAUUUCUUGUAUUGAAUUUAGGUAAGAAAGUUAUAUAUGCAUAUGUUAGAUUCGAAUAUAUAAGUAAAUACAUGAACAAGUCUUGAAUUUAGAAAAAAGGUAUGAGGAUGUAUAUAUGUAUAUGUAUAUAUAAAUAUGUAUAUAAUGCUCGAAUAUUUAUACAUAUAUAUAUUGUAUAUGUAUGAAUUCUUGGUUUUAAUCAAAGGUAUGUAUAACAUAUAUAUAUUAGGUUCGAAUAUAUAUAUUUAUAUAUAUAGGUAUAUACAUGUAUAAACUCUUGGAUUUGAUUAAAGAUAUGUAACUCAUGAUUGUAUAUGUAGUUUCAAAUAGGUAUGUAUAUGUGAGUUGUAAUUUAUAUGCAUAUAUGCUAUAUUUGAAUGAGCAUACUUACAUAUAUGUAUAUAUUCUUUUAUUGAAUUUAGGAAGGACAUUUAUAUAAGUUUAUAUGAGAUUCGAUUAUGCAGGUAUACAUGUAUAUGUUCUUGUAAUGAAUUUAAGUAUGAAAUUUAUAUAUGUAUAUGGAAGAUCCGAUUAUGUAUAUAUAUUCAUGUAAAAGUUUUUGAAUGUAAUUAAAGGUAUGAAAUUAUUAGUUUGGAUCAUUAUAAGGUGAUCUAAUGUUUCAGAGUACUUUACAUCUAGCAAGUUUGAUGCUGGUGAAAUAUUUCAGACUUUAUGUCUAGUAGGCUUAAUGCCGGUGAAACAAUUCGGACUAUAAGUCUAGCAGGCUAAAAGCCAGUGUACUGAAUCAGGUUUUAAAACCUAGCAGGCUAAGUGCCGGUGAAUCUGUUUAUAUAAUGUGUUUAAAUAUGAUGGAUAUGCAUAUGAAUUAUGUCAUAUGUAUUUGAAGAACAUGUAUAUCCUUUCGGUGAUAAUACUUGUUAGGCAUAUGUAUAUAUGCAUUCAGCUAUUCAAGUUUAAAGUGUAUAUAUAUUCGGUGAUAAUAUUUGUUAUGUGUAUAAGCAUUCGGUUAUUCAUGUUUAAAGUGUAUAUACAUUCGAUGAUAAUAUUUUUUAAGCAUAUAUGUAUAUACACAUUCGGCUAUUCAUGUUUUAAACUGUAUAUGCAUUUGGUUUUAAGUGUUGAUAAUUAAGUAUGCAUUUGACUAUAUAUAAAUUAUAUGUAAAUGUAUUUGGUUAUAAGAUUUUGAUGAGUAUUUAUAUAUACAAUUGGUUGUAUGCAUGUUGUUUAUAUAUAUAUAUGUACUCAUUGAUAUGAAUUCUAUGAUUUCAUAUAUUUGGUUAUAAAUAAGAUGAUUAUGAAUAGCAAUUAUUCAAAUGAUAACAUAUAUGAUAUAUUGCGAAUUCAUUAAGUGUACCAAGAAAUUUUAUAAUUAUUUAUAUAUAUUUUAGUUAUGUUAUAGACUUACUAAGCUAUAAAAGCUUACUUUGUUUGUUUAUGUCUUUCUGGUUUUUUUUUUAGACUUAAAGAUCAAGCUUCAAAUUCGGGGAUCGUCAGCAAGGUCAUCACUCUAUCUACUGUCUCGGUAUUAAAAUGUUUAAAUUUUAACUUAUGGCAUGUAUAGGCUAGAUAAUGUUUUGAAGGUCGUACUUCUAUAUAUAUUGUAUAUGAUAUUAAUAGCCAUAUGAAAAUGGCUUAUUUUCUUAUGGUUUAUUUGUAUUGUGAUGUCUUUAUUUUGUUUAAAUUGGUCAAAACAGAAGCUUAAAAUUUUGCAUGUUUAAUAUUAGACCUAGUUUAUUAUAUGUAACUGUAAAAAAAAUUGAACUUUAAUGAAUGUUUGUUUUGAUUUGUGUUUUGAUUAGUAAUGCCUCUUAACCCUAAUUCGGCGACAGAUACGGGUUAGGGGUGUUACAAUGUUAGCAUAAGUUAGGCAAGUUUUGGUUAUCAUUUGAAUGUCACAAAGUAUGCAUUAUUCGUGAAAGUGCAUUAGUGCCUCAAGACAUCAGGAGCAUCUCUCGAGACAUCAAGAACAAAAAUGACUAUUUCAUGCCUUUCUAAAUAAUUGUCCCGAGAUAUAUUGAACAUGGAUCAAGAUAUAAAUUGUCUGGUUUUAAGGCAUGAGGCCCAUUGUCUCAAGACAGGAAAUAUCGAAGCUAAAGGUCUAAAAUAGGGGAGCUAAUCUUAAGACAUGUCUCGAGACACAAGGGUAAUUCUCUCGAGACAAUUAAUUUUGAAAGUAGAGGUUGAAAAUAGGAGAAACAUGUCUAGAGACAUGGCUUCAUUGUCUCAAGACACACUAUUGAAUUUUGAUAAAUCGAGUUUGGAUUCGCAUCCUAACUCUACGCUUGACCCCAUACUACCUCAGGUCAUAUGGGCCAAUCCAUCAUGAUUAAAUGAGAAACAUUAGCAUAGUAAGAAAAUAUUAAAUUAUGCCAUGUUUUCCACUUAAAGUCAAUGAAAAGAAUUGAGAUGGUCCACAUUCGUAAUGUGACACCUUGUACUCAAAUCCGGUGAUCAAAUUCAAUGUGAGGUGUUACAUCUGUAGUUGAUAUGUCCCAAGUCUGUGAUGCCACAAUUCUAAGUCACGAAUGAAAGAUUUGCCGCAUGUAGUUUGGCUGAUCACUCUACAGUAGUUGUGAAGUGACCUUGCCCCUUUCAUUAAGGACCUUUUUUUUUAAUGUAUAACCUCAUAACCAUAUUUGAUGAAGUUGACACGGUAUCCUUGGUUACAUAAUUUAUUAAUGGUAAUUAAAAUAGCCUUAAGUCUCUCCAUCAAGUGAACAUUUUUAGCUUAGGGAUUCCUAAAUAUUGAGAAUGUCUCUCCCAAAUAUUUUACUUUUCCUGCCAUUACCCAAUGUGACAUUUUUUACAUUGUAAGUAUUUCAAAUAAUGUUUAUUACCUAUCAUGUGUCGAGAACAACCAUUCUCAAAGUAUUAGAUCUUUUUAGUGAUGGCAUUUAAGGAAGUAUGGACCAUUGAUGGGUGUUGAGAACAUCAAAAAUAAAUUAAAUUUGCAGUAUAGAGAAUAGAGUAGAUCUCAUAAAGAUUGAACCGAUUGAUUUUAUUAAAGUUGUCUAAACUGAUGACCAAACUGAUAAGACCAUCAAAAUCAACUUAAACUAAAAUUGAAAAAUAGAAUCAAUGUAUUAUUAAGUAAUGAAAUUGUAUAGAGUACUUAUUGUACAUAAACAACGGUGAUGAGUAAUUAUUAAGUAUUAAAUUUAACUCAUAAUAUAGUCUUCUUUUUUCUAAACAACAGUGAUGACGAAUUAUUAGAAUUAUUAGGUACUAAAUUUAACUCAUAAUAUAAUCUUCUUUUUUCUAUCAAUGAAAACGAGGAGGAAUGCUUUGUUCAUGCUUGAAGAAAUUCUUUGGAUCAGUCUUCGUCUUGACAUAAACAAGCCUAUCAAAAUUAUUCUUGAAAUAUUUACGUCCCCAAAUGCUUGCCUGCUUAUAACUUGUCUUGCCAUAGUAAUUAUUCCUCCCGAUGUCGAGAUCUCUGUAAUUAAGAUACACUUCUCGUGGAGAUUUCGAAACAAAAGGACCCAUGUAGCUAUAAAGUUUCCUCAUCCAGCUUAUAUACCUUUGAGAAUUAUUGCUUUCCUCCUCUAGCCAACCAAUAUUGUAGUAUAUCUUGUAUAAGGUGCCUUUUCGAUGUGGAAAUGGAGUUUCUGUCUCUGAGAUUUCCUCCAUUAUUCCACCGUAAGCAAUAAAGUAGUGAACUCCUAUGCCUCCUUCGUCGACCUCGAGAAGUUGGGGCCAUAGCCCUUGUAAUGCUAUUUCAGGCAUUGGUUUCCUCACGUAAUCAGAUUUUGAUUUGAAUGAAGGAGGAAGAAUGGAAUACCUGUUGCUCCUAUCGAGCAAAAUCUCCGAUGUUUCAUUUGAAGCUCCGUUCAAUAACAAUAGAGAUUCGAUCCAAGUCAUCUCAAUAAAAUCUUCCUUAACGUGUCCAAGCUCCGGAAAUCGUUCUUGCAUCAAUGGAAUAAAAUCAUUGGCACCACCUUGGAACAAUGAAAUAAAGGUGGCAAGAACCGUCUUUGUCCUAUUUUCACUGGCGUUCGUCGUUGAUAUCGUAACGACUGAGUAUACAUCAUUCGGAAGAUUGGGUGCAACGUAUUGCCAACGAUGAAGAAGCUGUGUUGCAUUUUGUUCCAAGGUCCUGCCCACUGAGAAAACAGUCACAGUUGAAGGAACAUGAACCAGCUUUAUUUUCCAUGAAAUGACGAUCCCAAAGCUUCCCCCUCCGCCACCUCGAAUGGCCCAAAACAGAUCUUCACCCAUCGAUCUUCUAUCAAGAACUCUUCCAUUAGCAUCGACCAACUGCGCAUCGAUCACGUUAUCCGCCGAGAGACCAUAUUUUCGGAACAAUAAACCAUCGCCUCCACCGCUAAUCGACCCACCAAUUCCUACAGUGCGGCCAACAGCUGCUGGGAAGGUAAGGUUCGUGCUUCUUUCAUUGAUUCUGUAGUAUACUUCACCCAC